rnacentral:rRNA from 1 species
UACGUAGGGUCCGAGCGUUGUCCGGAAUUACUGGGCGUAAAGAGCUCGUAGGUGGUCUGUCGCGUUGUUCGUGAAAACUCACAGCUUAACUGUGGGCGUGCGGGCGAUACGGGCAGACUUGAGUACUGCAGGGGAGACUGGAAUUCCUGGUGUAGCGGUGGAAUGCGCAGAUAUCAGGAGGAACACCGGUGGCGAAGGCGGGUCUCUGGGCCGAUACUGACGCUGAGGUGCGAAAGCGUGGGGAGCAAACAGG